rnacentral:rRNA from 1 species
GAUGAACGCUGGCGGCAUGCCUAAUACAUGCAAGUCGAACGAGCUCUUCGGAGCUAGUGGCGAACGGGUGAGUAACACGUAGGAAACCUACCCAUAAGACGAGGAUAACUACUGGAAACGGUAGCUAAUACUGGAUAGCAUACUUGAUCGCAUGAUUGAGUAUUUAAAGAAGCGUAUGCUUCACUUAUGGAUGGUCCUGCGGCGCAUUAGCUAGUUGGUAGGGUAAAGGCCUACCAAGGCGACGAUGCGUAGCUGAGCUGAGAGGCUGAUCAGCCACACUGGGACUGAGACACGGCCCAGACUCCUACGGGAGGCAGCAGUAGGGAAUUUUCGGCAAUGGGGGAAACCCUGACCGAGCAAUGCCGCGUGAAUGAAGAAGGUCUUCGGAUCGUAAAAUUCUGUUGUUAGGGAAGAAUAGUACAUAUAGGAAAUGAUAUGUAUGUGACGGUACCUAACUAGAAAGCUCCGGCUAACUACG